AGGACGAACGCUGGCGGCGUGCUUAACACAUGCAAGUCGAGCGGAAAGGCCCUUCGGGGUACUCGAGCGGCGAACGGGUGAGUAACACGUGAGCAACCUGCCCUUGGCUCUGGGAUAGCCUCCGGAAACGGGGAUUAAUACCGGACAUUCACUUUCUCCUGCAUGGGGGUUGGUGGAAAGUUUUUCGGCCAGGGAGGGGCUCGCGGCCUAUCAGCUUGUUGGCGGGGUAACGGCCCACCAAGGCGACGACGGGUAGCCGGCCUGAGAGGGCGAUCGGCCACACUGGGACUGAGACACGGCCCAGACUCCUACGGGAGGCAGCAGUGGGGAAUAUUGCACAAUGGGCGCAAGCCUGAUGCAGCGACGCCGCGUGGGGGAUGAAGGCCUUCGGGUUGUAAACCCUUUCACCAGGAGCGAAUUCAGACGGUACCUGGGAAGAAGCGCCGGCUAACGUACGCGCCAGCAGCCGC
rnacentral:rRNA from 1 species